rnacentral:rRNA from 1 species
AUUGAACGCUGGCGGCAUGCCUUACACAUGCAAGUCGAACGGCAGCACGGGAGCAAUCCUGGUGGCGAGUGGCGAACGGGUGAGUAAUAUAUCGGAACGUGCCCAGUCGUGGGGACAACGUAGCGAAAGCUACGCUAAUACCGCAUACGAUCUAUGGAUGAAAGCGGGGGAUCGCAAGACCUCGCGCGAUUGGAGCGGCCGAUAUCAGAUUAGGUAGUUGGUGAGGUAAAGGCUCACCAAGCCGACGAUCUGUAGCUGGUCUGAGAGGACGACCAGCCACACUGGGACUGAGACACGGCCCAGACUCCUACGGGAGGCAGCAGUGGGGAAUUUUGGACAAUGGGCGCAAGCCUGAUCCAGCAAUGCCGCGUGCAGGAUGAAGGCC